rnacentral:rRNA from 1 species
AGUGAGGUACAAAGGGCAGCGAAACCGCGAGGUCGAGCGAAUCUCAAAAAACCCAUCAUAGUCCGGAUUGCAGUCUGCAACUCGACUGCAUGAAGUUGGAAUCGCUAGUAAUCCCGGAUCAGCAUGCCGGGGUGAAUACGUUCCCGGGCCUU